CGGCGCGGCCGGGCGGACCGGCCGCGCCGGUCCGCCCGGCGGGCGGACCGGCCGGCGGGGCGCUCUGCGCGGCCCGCGCGCCGCCC
rnacentral:tRNA from 1 species